CCUACGGGGGGCAGCAGUGGGGAAUAUUGGACAAUGGGCGAAAGCCUGAUCCAGCCAUGCCGCGUGGAUGAAGAAGGCCCUAGGGUUGUAAAGUCCUUUCGGCGGGGAAGAUAAUGACGGUACCCGCAGAAGAAGCCCCGGCUAAUUUCGUGCCAGCAGCCGCGGUAAUACGAAAGGGGCUAGCGUUGUUCGGAAUUACUGGGCGUAAAGCGCACGUAGGCGGCCUUGCAAGAUGGGGGUGAAAUCCCCGGGCUCAACCCGGGAACUGCCUUCAUGACUGCAAAGCUCGAGGACGCGAGAGGUUGGCGGAAUUCCGAGUGUAGAGGUGAAAUUCGUAGAUAUUCGGAAGAACACCAGUGGCGAAGGCGGCCAACUGGCGCGUCACUGACGCUGAGGUGCGAAAGCGUGGGGAGCAAACAGGAUUAGAUACCCCAGUAGUC
rnacentral:rRNA from 1 species